UACGAAGGGGGCUAGCGUUGCUCGGAAUCACUGGGCGUAAAGCGCACGUAGGCGGAUCUUUAAGUCAGGGGUGAAAUCCUGGAGCUCAACUCCAGAACUGCCUUUAAGACUGCAUCGCUUGAAUCCAGGAGAGGUGAGUGGAAUUCCGAGUGUAGAGGUGAAAUUCGUAGAUAUUCGGAAGAACACCAGUGGCGAAGGCGGCUCACUGGACUGGUAUUGACGCUGAGGUGCGAAAGCGUGGGGAGCAAACAGG
rnacentral:rRNA from 1 species